rnacentral:rRNA from 1 species
GAUGAACGCUAGCUAUAGGCUUAACACAUGCAAGUCGAGGGACCGGCGCACGGGUGAGUAACGCGUAUCCCACCUGCCCAUAACUAAGGGAUAACCCAGCGAAAGUUGGACUAAUACCUUAUGGUUAUGGAUGGGGAUGCGUCUGAUUAGCUUGUUGGCGGGGUAACGGCACACCAAGGCAACGAUCAGGAGGGGUACUGAGAGGAAUGUCCACCACCUUGGAACUGAGCCACAGGCCAAACUCCUAGAGGAGGGAGAAGUGAGGAAUAUGGGUUAACAGACGCAAGUCUGAACCAGCCAAGUGGCGAGGAGGAUGACUGAAUAUGGGUUGUCAACCGCUUUUAUAUGCGGAUAGGUACCAUAUGAAUAGGUAUCGGCGAAUUCCGUGCCAGCAGCCGCGGUAAUAC